AACGAACGUUGGCGGCACGCUUAACACAUGCAAGUCGAACGAGAAACCUGAGCUUGCUCAGGUGGACAGUGGCAGACGGCUUAGUAACGCGUGGGUAUCUACCUAGAGGUUUGGAACAACUAUUGGAAACGAUAGCUAAUACCAAAUAUUCCCUAAGGGGGAAAGAUUUAUCGCCUUUAGAUGAGCCCGCGUCGGAUUAGCUUGUUGGUAGGGUAAAGGCCUACCAAGG
rnacentral:rRNA from 1 species